GUGGAGGGCAUCCCCCUUUUUGGUAUGUUUCUUACUAAAACACUGCACAGCUAGGCUGUGAUGAGAUAGGUCACUUACAGGACAUCAUAUUAAGACCAGGUGUGGAAUUGUUUGUUGCCUGUUGGGGGGGUAUUUAUAUGUGUCCCUUGCUGAGGAAGAGGGGCUACAAUAACUUGAAGCCACAACCUCAGGUUUUAUCUUCAUUAUUCCUGAGAAUGAAAACUAGAAAAUGAAAUGGGGUGAUGAGUUUCACCAAGAAACCCAUAAAUCUGCACUUUGAUAACAGUGUUAUUUUGGUCUUUUGUUAUGACUGUGUGUGCUGUGAAUGCCUUGCAUUUCCCAGCUAGGCCUUGGGAAAACAGCAGUAUCAUUCCUUUAAAACAAAGAUUGAGCCUUGACCUAACUAAUCUCUUUUCAUGUCAAGAAUCUUGAAUGGUACAUUUCUGUCAUUUGUCUCCAGAACAUGUGUGCACAGUUCUCUCAUCUCUCUUGAAUAGUUAUUUUUCCAGGAUUUUGGUCAGUUUUCAUUUGCUCUCCAAGGAGGUCAUAUGAGCCCAAUUAUGCCGUAAUUAUCGCAGUUAAGAAGUGAGUAAUGUCAAGGGACCUGCCCUUAACUUCACUAGUGCAUGCACACGCUCACAUCCUUUAUUGCUGAAGAGACCGUGUUUCCCAACGCACGCUCCUCCAGAUUUUAUCGAAAGUUCGCUCAGGAGUCUGUGGUCAGGACGCCAGGCUGUGGUAAUGCCAGGCAGUGCUCGGCACCUCACACAGAUGGCCACAGCCCUCUCCAGGCUCCUGAAACACAAACGACUCCUUGCCUUUUCACUGCACUUGGAGAAGGCAGUGUCUGCGAGCUAUGCUUGUUACGAAAUGUUGGAGAAAUGGUGGCACAGGCCAAAGACUUCGUUCAAGUCAUCUUGCUGAUUUUAUUUGCAGCAGAGUGUAGUGUUCAGCAAGAGGACCUCCACUGAGUUUGAAAGGAACUAAUUUAUUUUCUGUUUCUGAAGAGUUUACAUUAUUUCCCACUGCUUAUACUUUAGGAUGUUUAUUUUAUGAGGACUAAGG
ensembl:lncRNA